rnacentral:rRNA from 1 species
GUGUCAGCAGCCGCGGUAAUACGAGGGGUCCAAGCGUUGUUCGGAAUCACUGGGCGUAAAGCGGGUGUAGGUGGCUCAGCAAGUUGGAUGUGAAAGCCCCGGGCUCAACCCGGGAAGUGCAUCCAAAACUACUGAGCUUGAGUGCGGGAGAGAAAGGUAGAAUUCCAGGUGUAGUGGUGAAAUACGUAGAUAUCUGGAGGAACACCGGUGGUGAAGACGGCCUUUUGGCCCAGCACUGACACUCAGACCCAAAAGCGUGGGUAGCAAACAGGAUUAGAUACCCUGGUAGUCC